rnacentral:rRNA from 1 species
UGGGGAAUAUUGGACAAUGGGCGCAAGCCUGAUCCAGCCAUGCCGCGUGAGUGAUGAAGGCCUUAGGGUUGUAAAGCUCUUUUGUCCGGGAAGAUAAUGACUGUACCGGAAGAAUAAGCCCCGGCUAACUUCGUGCCAGCAGCCGCGGUAAUACGAAGGGGGCUAGCGUUGCUCGGAAUCACUGGGCGUAAAGGGCGCGUAGGCGGACUCUUAAGUCGGGGGUGAAAGCCCAGGGCUCAACCCUGGAAUUGCCUUCGAUACUGGGAGUCUUGAGUUCGGAAGAGGUUGGUGGAACUGCGAGUGUAGAGGUGAAAUUCGUAGAUAUUCGCAAGAACACCAGUGGCGAAGGCGGCCAACUGGUCCGAUACUGACGCUGAGGCGCGAAAGCGUGGGGAGCAAACA